AAGGAUCAUUAUCGUACUACAGAGGUGCGAGGGCUGUCGCUGACCUUUUUUCAAAGGUCGUGCACGCCCGAGCGCUCUCGCCUACAAUCCACCUCACCACUUGUGCAUCACCGCGCGGGGCCUCCCUCUUGGCUCGCUUCGAGAGAGGCUCGCGUUCUUCACAUCACACACACACCUUUUUAGUUUUGAAUGUCAUUCAUUUGCGAUAACACGCAAUCAAUACAACUUUCAACAACGGAUCUCUUGGCUCUCGCAUCGAUGAAGAACGCAGCGAAAUGCGAUACGUAAUGUGAAUUGCAGAAUUCAGUGAAUCAUCGAAUCUUUGAACGCACCUUGCGCCCCUUGGCAUUCCGAGGGGCACACCCGUUUGAGUGUCGUGAAAUUCUCAAACCUUCUUGGUUUCUUGACCAAGAUGGCUUUGGACUUUGGAGGCGUUGUGCUGGCUUUGCAAAAAGUCGGCUCCUCUUAAAUGCAUUAGUGGGGUCCCCUUUGCCAAUCCCCAGGCGUGAUAAGAUGUUUCUACGUCUUGGGAUUUGCUCUGUUCACUGGGAACCUGCUUCCAACCGUCUCGUGAGAGACAUCGUUCGAGCUUGCUCGGCACACGAAUCUUGA
rnacentral:rRNA from 1 species